GAUGACAUGAGCUGUUCAUGAUGAUGUUAUCUUUGACUGGUGAAACACUUCAGUUCCUACAGAAAUUUCUCGAGGCCAUAAACCAGAUUCUGGAAAACCAAAGAGAAUAAUGGAUCCCUAACUGGUCCAUAUCUGCAAGCUUAUUCAUGCUUUACCUGAACAUCAGUUGAACUAUCCUCUCUGUUGUAGAUCUGACCAAGAUUUGAUAUGUUGUUUGCAAUUUGGAUAGCUUCAGGAGAAGGAAGAUCCUGCAUUUCAUAGUGGAAGGAGGCCAUGAUCACAGCCUGUUGGAGAAGUAUAGAUCCUAUGGAUAGAGUUGGUGCUACAAGACAUCCCUAUAACGCAAGCAGAGACGAAAUUAGAUUUUAGUGAACCAUCUCUCGUCUAACAAUUGUUGCUUCAGGACAGACUCGACCUCACAAAGAAAGGGAACGUAAUGAAUAAUCUGCGAGUAUCUCAUCUCACCCUGUGCUCACCAUGGUGGCCUUGUCACAUAGUGCAGACAACGCAGAUACUGUCUCUGGCUUAAUCCGAGGUUGAGAAGCAGAGCAGGAAAAAGAAGGCCUAGAAGGUUUGAGAUGUCGUGAUAGCUGGAAGAAAUGGCAGUUCACAGCUGCCAUUGCUCUAACCUCGGAGAUAGCUUUUGUGUUUCUUUUUUUUGCUUGAUGGUUUUCUCAUGUUGAUAAGAGAUUCUUGCACUGUCCUUUGUCUUCUACUUCAAACGCUGUCGUCUCUGUUUGAGGCGUAUGAAUGGAUAAGGUUACU